GGCGGCAUGCCUUACACAUGCAAGUCGAACGGUAACGCGGGGCAACCUGGCGACGAGUGGCGAACGGGUGAGUAAUAUAUCGGAACGUGCCCAGUAGUGGGGGAUAGCCCGGCGAAAGCCGGAUUAAUACCGCAUACGACCUACGGGUGAAAGGGGGGGAUCGCAAGACCUCUCGCUAUUGGAGCGGCCGAUAUCAGAUUAGCUAGUUGGUGGGGUAAAAGCUCACCAAGGCGACGAUCUGUAGCUGGUCUGAGAGGACGACCAGCCACACUGGGACUGAGACACGGCCCAGACUCCUACGGGAGGCAGCAGUGGGGAAUUUUGGACAAUGGACGCAAGUCUGAUCCAGCCAUGCCGCGUGCGGGAAGAAGGCCUUCGGGUUGUAAACCGCUUUUGUCAGGGAAGAAAUCCUUUGAAAUAAUACUUCGGAGGGAUGACGGUACCUGAAGAAUAAGCACCGGCUAACUACGUGCCAGCAGCCGCGGUAAUACGUAGGGUGCAAGCGUUAAUCGGAAUUACUGGGCGUAAAGCGUGCGCAGGCGGU
rnacentral:rRNA from 1 species